rnacentral:lncRNA from 1 species
AUUAUUGGUUUGGUUAUAUUUUAAUAAAAAAUCGAACCAACCUGACCUAUGUACCCCUAUACAAGAGGGUCGAAACCAAAGAAAUUUGACUCUUAGAAACCGAAAGGGUGUCACGUAAAUAUAAUUAGAGACCGUGCAAAAGAUACGUGACAAGCGUGUGAAUCUGAGAGAGCAAAAAGAAACAGUUGCGAUGAUGGGGUUCAAAUGGAC